AGCAGGAAACCUUCUCUGCCCAAAGCAUGUCACAGUCUUAUAUUUUCUACCAUCUCUCACUGAAGCAUGGAUUCAACGGAGCAACAAGGAUAUUAGGAUAGAAGCCGGGAAGUAAAGAAUAAACGUAAUAAUCUCAACAGAAAGUCGGGAUCUCUCUUACCUGAUUUUUCACAGAUCCAUUAAAAGAUACAUCAGACAAAAGAACUGCGAAAGAGUAAUUUUGCUGGAUAUCCACUUAUUCCAAUUCAGCCAUUUGCAGACAGUGUGAGAAUUCUGGUGGGGUUGUUGACCCCUCUUUGCUCUGGGACAGUGCAAACCUGCCUCUGUUUUAACCACAGGUGCCGUUUUGUGGGCUUGGUUCCUUAAGUACCUAGCAAUGAGGGUCCUGGUCUAAGGGAGGUGCCCUGGCAGACACUGCUGGCUUCUUGUACCCAAAGGAGGAAGGAUCUGGACUGCCCCACCUGGACCUCAGGUGAAAACAGCAAUGUCUGGAGUUAGCAAAUACAAGUCCUGGUCUCCAAGGAUCUACUCUACCUGCUCUGAAAAUGUAUAAAAUUAUUAUUGUAAGAGAGAAAUAAACAUCUAUCCCUUUAAGGACCAUUAUUUCGAGACCCCACUUCAGCAGCUACAAUGAUGUAACUGAUACAGUUAGUAAUUAAUAGUUUAGUUGUAUUACUACCAAGAAAUAUGAAAUCUAUAAAAUGCAUGUCCUAGUUCUAUAUAGAAUAUGCUAUUUUAGCUAUCUAAGAAAUUAUAAAGUUUUAUGAGUAUUUACUACUGUUUUUAUAAAUUUUCUAUUAGAUAACUGUAUGCUGUCUUAAGUUAUAUAUAUAUAUACAUGCAUGCAUACAUACAUAUACACAUUAUUCAAUCCACCUUAUUAGUCAUGUCAUACUUUGCAUAUCAUGCUCAACAGCAUGGUAUAGAAUACUGAUGAGUUUCCAUCAAAAUAAAAAUGUUU